CCUACGGGACGCAGCAGUAGGGAAUCUUUCACAAUGGGCGAAAGCCUGAUGGAGCAACGCCGCGUGCAGGAUGAAGGCCUUCGGGUUGUAAACUGCUUUUAUAAGCGAGAAAUAUGAUGGUAACUUAUGAAUAAGGAUCGGCUAACUACGUGCCAGCAGCCGCGGUAAUACGUAGGGGGCAAGCGUUAUCCGGAUUUACUGGGUGUAAAGGGAGCGUAGACGGAGGAGCAAGUCUGAUGUGAAAAUCCGGGGCCCAACCCCGGAACUGCAUUGGAAACUGUUUAUCUAGAGUGUCGGAGAGGCAA
rnacentral:rRNA from 1 species